rnacentral:misc_RNA from 1 species
UGCAAAUUUCUCCCAAUGCCACGAAUACCAAAAUGAUAAAUAUCAUUUAUCCAACGAAAACGAUAAUAAUGAUUUUAAGCAAUUGAUUUUUUUUAAAAUAAUUUGUUUGCUUCUACAUAUGAAUGCUUCUGUAUUUUUAAGUGAAUGGUAUCAUAGAAUGAUUUACUUUUCAAAAUAUGCCAAAGGAAAGCUUUCGCCAUAAUAUUUUUUUUUUGCUUUUGUACGAGAGCCAUUUAUCACUAAGUGUUUUGUUUUAAUUAUUAUUAUUAUUAUUACUAUUAUAUAUAACAAAAACCUUAUCACAAAUAUACUAUACCGAGUUGUGAAUGACUGACGUCACAUGUACAUUAAUCCUGUAAACGAGCUGUUACGGUUUUUUUUUAUUGUUGACAGUCUGUUCAAAAGAAACUCUUACAAUGAUCCGUUGUAUAUUACGCACAUUACAAAAAAUGAACUCUACCUAGUCUGCAUGGUAGGACUUCAAAUAUCCGGUUCAAUGGCGCUAUGGCGCGGCGACCAUCGUAGGAGUUUCGUUAUGUAUGUUCUAAUUCCAGCGACUGAUUUUUAUGACUGUACUAUUCUGUGUUGUGCUACAAAGUGUCCAAGACACUGUCUUCUGUCCAUGGCUUAUGAAAUAUUAAAAGUGUUGUAAAACG